rnacentral:lncRNA from 1 species
AAAGUCUAACAUAGUCUAGCAAUGUGAUUUGUUUUGAUAAACAAAAGCAGUUUAUCAAAGUGGGAUUGGGAGGCCUGUCAACAGGUAUUUUUAGGAUUGGCUAAACAGGAAGAGCAGUAACAUCCUGAAAGAACUGUAUCUUUUGGUAGAUCCAAUCAGGCUAGCCAUCCACCAGUGUCACCUCUUAGAUCAGGCUCCAGGGUCAAAUCACAGUGCACGAUUCACUUCAUCUAAAGUGGGGAGGGUCAAAACCACUCAAAAGGCAAGUGUGUGAACAGAUUAAAAAUAGGCAGUUUUGUAAAGCUGGGCUGUGGUUCUUCCCAAAGGCAUGCAUCAGAAUCACCGGGAGGACUUGUGCGACCACAGAGCACUGGAUCCAACCCGAGACAUUUUGAUGCAGUUGGUCUCCAGUGGACUCAAGAAUUUUCAUUUCUAGCAAGCUCCCAGAGUCAAGGUACCCGUCCACCACCGGAUGUAGCUUAUAAUAAAGACUGGGACACGAUGGAGACUGAGUGAGGAGUGUGUUUCUUCAAAGAGAACACAAUGAGAGCUGAUGACAGUUCUAACGAAAUUGCGACAGAGUGCAGAGGGAUGAUAAAGCAAAUAGUGUGCUAACUGGAGACCCUUCUCCACACCGUAAGAUGAGGUCAUGCUGUAGCGGUGACAGUGUUGUAAUUGUUCAUGACUUGUUUAGUGUCAUUUUGAGUCUUCUAAUUCCCUUUAAGUAGGCUGCCA